UUUUUUUUUUUUUUUUUUUUUUUUUUUUUUUUUUUUUUUUUUUUUUUUUUUUUUUUGUUCACCGCAUUCUGUGAGAAUCCGUUGAGGUCACAACUGUGGCAGGGCUGAAACGUUGCACCUGCAAGGCAAAAA
rnacentral:ribozyme from 1 species